rnacentral:rRNA from 1 species
UUUAAAGGAAAACCAGAACAAAAGAUUAAACAUUUAAAUUAAUAUCCUAUUUUCAAUAUUUCAACUUAUCUUAAARGUAAAAARACAUUUAUAUAAAAGAAAGACRACAAGACCCURAKGAACUUUACUUAAGUUAAASKGGGGCAGUCAAUUAAUAAUCACUUUAAUUUUUUUAAAAUUCACAAAAAAUCCMAUACUAUUGAAUAAUCAAGUUACCAUAGGGAUARCAGCGUAAUAAUUAUUUAAAGCUCUUAUAAAAAUAAUAGCUUGCAACCUCGAUGUUGAAUUAAUUACCUAAUUAAAGCAAAAAUUAAUAAAGGAAGUCUGUUCGACUUUUAAAAAAUUACAUGAUUUGAGUUCAGACCGGUAUAAGCCAGGUCGGUUUCUAUCUUCUAAAUUAUUCUUACAGUACGAAAGGGCCCAAGAAAMUAAUUUAAUUAAACUAAUUGGCAGAAAAAUGCAUUAGAAUUAGAAUCUAAUAAAACUAACUUAUCUCAUUCAUCCUAUCAUUUUUAAUGAUUACCAUCAGA